ACCAAGGCAACGAUCAGUAGCCGGCUUGAGAGAGUGUACGGCCACAUUGGGACUGAGACACGGCCCAGACUCCUACGGGAGGCAGCAGUGGGGAAUUUUGCACAAUGGGGGAAACCCUGAUGCAGCGACGCCGCGUGAUUUAGAAGGCCUUCGGGUUGUAAAAAUCUUUUGUAUGGGAAGAAAAUGACAGUACCAUACGAAUAAGGACCGGCUAAUUACGUGCCAGCAGCCGCGGUAAUACGUAAGGUCCGAGCGUUGUCCGGAAUCAUUGGGCGUAAAGGGUACGUAGGCGGAUAAGCAAGUUAGAAGUGAAAUCCUAUAGCUCAACUAUAGUAAGCUUUUAAAACUGCUCAUCUUGAGGUAUGGAAGGGAAAGUGGAAUUCCUAGUGUAGCGGUGAAAUGCGCAGAUAUUAGGAGGAAUACCGGUGGCGAAGGCGACUUUCUGGCCAUAAACUGACGCUGAGGUACGAAAGCGUGGGUAGCAAACAGGAUUAGAUACCCUGGUAGUCCACGCCGUAAACGAUGAGUGUUAGGUGUCUGGAGUAAAUCUGGGUGCCGCAGCUAACGCAUUAAACACUCCGCCUGGGGAGUACGCACGCAAGUGUGAAACUCAAAGGAAUUGACGGGGACCCGCACAAGCAGCGGAGCAUGUGGUUUAAUUCGAUGCAACGCGAAGAACCUUACCAGGGCUUGACAUGUGGGUGAAAGGUAUAGAGAUAUACCCCUCUCUUUAUGAGACAUCCAUACAGGUGGUGCAUGGUUGUCGUCAGCUCGUGUCGUGAGAUGUUGGGUUAAGUCCCAUAACGAGCGCAACCCCUAUUGUUAGUUACCAUCAUUAAGUUGGGGACUCUAGCAAUACUGCCGGUGACAAACCGGAGGAAGGUGGGGAUGACGUCAAAUCAUCAUGCCCUUUAUGACUUGGGCUACACACGUGCUACAAUGGCAGGUACAGAGGGAAGCGAGACUGCGAAGUUAAGCAAAACUCAAAAAGCCUGUCCCAGUUCGGAUUGCACUCUGCAACUCGAGUGCAUGAAGUUGGAGUUGCUAGUAAUCGCAGAUCAGAAUGCUGCGGUGAAUGCGUUCCCGGGUCUUGUACACACCGCCCGUCACACCAUGGA
rnacentral:rRNA from 1 species